ACAAAAUAAAAUAAGUUUGUCAAAUGGACAAAUAUAAAAUAUUAAUUUAAAUUAACCUUAAAGGUAAUUAAAUAUUUUUAGAAUUGCAUGAGCUUAUACUAUAAAGUGAUUAAAUCAUAUUUUUUACUACACACAAAAAGAUAAAAACAUGGUUAAAGUUCUGCAUUUUGUUUCUGUUAUAAUUUUAUUUUUGUCCCUAAUCCUUCUUUCAAAAGUUAAUGCAGAUCCACUUAGAUGUGACACCGACGCCGAUUGCCCUAUAAUCCGUCACUUGUAUCCUUUCGUUUAUAAGUGUAUUAAAAACUUAUGUAAUCUUAUUGAACUUAAAUGAUUUGUCAUUUAAGUUUCAUGUUGUCACCCAAUAAUUAUACUCUUAAGUAUUUUUAAUUUUUUUUUUAAUUUUACAUUCUUGAUAUCAUGGAUGUGUACUCUAAAAUAUUAUUGACUUAAUUAUAGUUUUGGUCUUCUAUUUUA